UACGUAGGUGCAAGCGUUUGUCCGGAAUUAUUGGGCGUAAAGCGUCCGCAGGUGGCUGUUCAAGUCUGCUGUCAAAGCGCAGAGCUUAACUCUGUACAGGCGGUGGAAACUGAAGAGCUAGAGUAUGGUAGGGGUAGAGGGAAUUCCCGGUGUAGCGGUGAAAUGCGUAGAUAUCGGGAAGAACACCAGUGGCGAAAGCGCUCUACUGGGCCAUAACUGACACUGAGGGACGAAAGCUAGGGGAGCGAAAGGG
rnacentral:rRNA from 1 species